UAUGGCACAAACUUGUACUCUGU
rnacentral:miRNA from 1 species